GAUGAACGCUGGCGGCGUGCCUAAUACAUGCAAGUCGAGCGAACAGACGAGGAGCUUGCUCCUCUGACGUUAGCGGCGGACGGGUGAGUAACACGUGGAUAACCUACCUAUAAGACUGGGAUAACUUCGGGAAACCGGAGCUAAUACCGGAUAAUAUAUUGAACCGCAUGGUUCAAUAGUGAAAGACGGUUUUGCUGUCACUUAUAGAUGGAUCCGCGCCGCAUUAGCUAGUUGGUAAGGUAACGGCUUACCAAGGCAACGAUGCGUAGCCGACCUGAGAGGGUGAUGAGCCACACUGGAACUGAGACACGGUCCAGACGCCUACGGGAGGCAGCAGUAGGGAAUCUUCCGCAAUGGGCGAAAGCCUGACGGAGCAACGCCGCGUGAGUGAUGAAGGUCUUCGGAUCGUAAAACUCUGUUAUUAGGGAAGAACAAAUGUGUAAGUAACUAUGCACGUCUUGACGGUACCUAAUCAGAAAGCCACGGCUAACUACGUG
rnacentral:rRNA from 1 species